GGAGGAUCCAAGCGUUAUCCGGAAUCAUUGGGUUUAAAGGGUCCGUAGGUGGAUAAUUAAGUCAGAGGUGAAAUCCUGCAGCUCAACUGUAGAAUUGCCUUUGAAACUGGUUAUCUUGAGUCAUUAUGAAGUGAUUAGAAUGUGUAGUGUAGCGGUGAAAUGCAUAGAUAUUACACAGAAUACCGAUUGCGAAGGCAGAUCACUAAUAAUGUACUGACACUGAUGGACGAAAGCGUGGGUAGCGAACAGGAUUAGAUACCCUGGUAGUCCCACGCCCGUAAACGAUGGUCACUAGCUGUUUGAACUUCGGUUUUGAGUGGCUAAGCGAAAGUGAUAAGUGACCCCACCUGGGGAGUACGUUCGCAAGAAUG
rnacentral:rRNA from 1 species